AUAAGCCACCCCAGGGAUCAUCUCAAGAGUCUUGAAGAAACUCCAAGAAGACGAGGCAUCAAUACUGAUGAUAUUCCCACUGUGGCCGACCCAGUUUUGGUUCCCCAAAGCUCUCCAGCUAAUGGCAGCAGUUCCCGUUCUUCUCCCCAAAAAUUCCCUAGUUCUUCCACAACAUCCUACUCAACGCCAUCCACAGGCUCAGAGACUCAAAACAGACCAGCACCACCACCACCAGCACCACCACCACCACUACCUAACGCUGUGUCCAGGCUGGAAUGUGUGACCUCUCUGCCAGGAAUGUCACCGUCCUCUCACACUCUGACACCAAGUACCUCACAACACCUGCAAUACUACACCUCUGAGUCCCCCCGGAGCCUGGCGGCCCUGCUCGGUCCCUUCCACGACUCGCAGCGAGAGAGAGAGGUCGAGGUGCGGUGGUCUCGUGGCGGAAGGCUGAAGGAGGCGGUGAAGGAGUGAAGGUGUGAAGUGUGCAGCUUCCACUUCAUCAUCCCAUGAACAGCCCACAGGAAUCUCUACCAGCACCUGGUUAUUAAACAGUGUUGUCACGCCAGGCCCAAUGUACUCCAUUGCAAUCAGGGAGUCAAGCUUCACCAGGAAAAGAGGCAGAGCGUCACCACCUUCAAGCCCCACCAGAGGUAUUAAGUAUCGUUGGGACAAAGCAAUCAGGGAAGAGUCAAGUUGCAGUAAGAAGAGUGUGUCAAGAAUUUCAAGCAGGAAGAACACGUAAAAUUCCCUUCAAGUCAUGGCGGGACCGACAGGCAACCUUCAACACUUGUGGAGGCACGAGAGCUGCAGGCAGUUUCACAAAGAAGAGGUUGCUCCUCACUCAAGUUGACGCAAGGACAUAAGAAUUGGCAAGUGUUGUUGCUCCCAGGCCCUGCUGCAAGAGUUCUCCAGUCCACUCCAGUCUGGGAAGGAAGAAUGUAGCAAGUCCCUCUCUUCUGUACUCAACAACCACCACCACCACCUUCAUUCAGGCUUGGGAUAAGUUUUGUACAUUCCAGCACUUCAGUAAUAAGGAAAAAAAGUGCCAUGUUUAUAUUAUUGUUGUGUAUUUAUUCACUUAACAUUCACAUUAAAACAAUAAACAUUCAGUAUACCAUCUUGAACAUAAUGAUAGUUAUUUAUGCCAUGUCAAUAAUAUCUUUGGCAAAUAGUCUUUCUGGGAGUACAGGUCAUGCCCUCAAGGUAAAAAAAACAAUGAUAGUUAUUUAUGCCAUGUCAAUAAUAUCUUUGGCAAAGUCUUUCUGGGAGUACAGGUCAUGCCCCCAAGGUAAAAAAAAAAAAAAAGUCAGGAUUGGCUACU